rnacentral:tRNA from 4 species
GGGCCCGUCGUUCAAUGGUAGUGACCCGAUUCUUAUAAAAUCGUGACGAAGGUUCGAUUCCUUCCGGGCCCA